rnacentral:rRNA from 1 species
UACGUAGGAUGCAAGCGUUGUCCGGAUUUACUGGGCGUAAAGCGCGCGCAGGCGGCACUCUAAGUACGUCGUGAAAUAUCCCGGCUCAACCGGGAGGGUGCGAUGUAGACUAGGGAGCUAGAGGUCGGUAGAGGGGGGUGGAAUUGCUGGUGUAGCGGUGAAAUGCGUAGAGAUCAGGAGGAACACCGGCGGUGUAAACGGCUUUCUGGACCAUAACUGACGCUGAGGCACGAAAGCGUGGGUAGCAAACAGG